UACGGAGGGUGCAAGCGUUGUUCGGAAUUACUGGGCGUAAAGCGCGCGUAGGCGGUUUUAUAAGUCAGAUGUGAAAGCCCUCGGCUCAACCGGGGACGUGCAUUUGAAACUGUGAGACUUGAGUAUUGGAGGGGGUGGUGGAAUUCCCGGUGUAGAGGUGAAAUUCGUAGAUAUCGGGAGGAAUACCGGUGGCGAAGGCGACCACCUGGCCAAAUACUGACGCUGAGGUGCGAAAGCGUGGGGAGCAAACAGG
rnacentral:rRNA from 1 species